AGGGAAUCUUCCACAAUGGACGAAAGUCUGAUGGAGCAACGCCGCGUGAGUGAUGAAGGUUUUCGGAUCGUAAAACUCUGUUGUAAGGGAAGAACCAGUACGUCAGGCAAUGGACGUACCUUGACGGUACCUUAUUAGAAAGCCACGGCUAACUACGUGCCAGCAGCCGCGGUAAUACGUAGGUGGCAAGCGUUGUCCGGAAUUAUUGGGCGUAAAGCGCGCGCAGGUGGUUUCUUAAGUCUGAUGUGAAAGCCCACGGCUUAACCGUGGAGGGUCAUUGGAAACUGGGAGACUUGAGUGCAGAAGAGGAAAGUGGAAUUCCAAGUGUAGCGGUGAAAUGCGUAGAGAUUUGGAGGAACACCAGUGGCGAAGGCGACUUUCUGGUCUGCAACUGACGCUGAGGCGCGAAAGCAUGGGGAGCAAACA
rnacentral:rRNA from 1 species